rnacentral:tRNA from 1 species
GAAAUGUAAAGUCAAUAAUAAAGCUGCUAACUUUUACUAUUAGCGGUUUAACUCCGUUAACAUUUCU